GACGAACCGUCCUAACGUUGUUCGGAAUCACUGGGCUUAAAGGGCGCGUAGGCGGCCCUGCAAGUCGGGGGUGAAAUCCCACGGCCCAACCGUGGAAGUGCCUCCGAUACUGCGGGGCUCGAGGGAGGCAGGGGCAGCGGGAACUUCCGGUGGAGCGGUGAAAUGCGUUGAUAUCGGAAGGAACGCCGGCGGCGAAAGCGGCUUACUGGGUCUUUUCUGACGCUGAGGCACGAAAGCCAGGGGAGCGAACGGG
rnacentral:rRNA from 1 species